rnacentral:rRNA from 1 species
UACGUAGGGUGCAAGCGUUAAUCGGAAUUACUGGGCGUAAAGCGUGCGCAGGCGGUUUGGUAAGACAGAUGUGAAAUCCCCGGGCUUAACCUGGGAAUUGCAUUUGUGACUGCCCGGCUAGAGUUUGGCAGAGGGGGGUAGAAUUCCACGUGUAGCAGUGAAAUGCGUAGAUAUGUGGAGGAAUACCGAUGGCGAAGGCAGCCCCCUGGGUCAAGACUGACGCUCAUGCACGAAAGCGUGGGGAGCAAACGGG